GUUCAAAGCCAAUGUUCUCUCUUUUACAAUACUAAAAGUAAAUGCACAAAGGUAGGGUAUCCUUCACCCAUAUAAAAGUAAUUCAAACUCAUUACAGAAAAAAAAUAUGUGUAUCCUUACUCCACUACCAAAAAAUUCUUACUACCAGUGUUUUCUGUUUUAGACUCAUUUGGGGGGAGUGGCAUAUGUCAUAAUAUGUUAUGAUGCCCCCUUGAGAACUUGUCCCACGAGUUAACUAGUGCAAAGAUUUCACUGUUGAGGACAAAUUUACUGAAUUAAAAUCUCCAAUGUCUCCUAGCGACAGAAAGGCAACUUUGACCAUUGAGAGUCAUCCCAAGUUUGAAGACAAUCAAAGAACUGCUGUGAAGCAAGGAGACAUGGGGGUGAUCACGAUUUCUGCUCAGUGCUGUGGAAUGAUGAGGUUGAAGAUGGAGGUCAUGGACCAGCCUGCAGCAGGUAGUCUCUGAAGUGGGACACCUGUAAUUGUCUGCUUGGCCAACCAAGCAGAAAGGGAAGCCUGCUAGAGUUCUCAAUGCCAUUGUGAUUAAAAGAGAUCACAGCCUA